rnacentral:tRNA from 1 species
GGUGGCUCAGUGGUAGAGUGCUUGCCUAGCAUGCAUGAAGUCCUGGGUUUGAUUCCCCAGCACCA